rnacentral:misc_RNA from 1 species
GAUGAAGAACGUAGCGAAAUGCGAUAAGUAAUGUGAAUUGCAGAAUUCAGUGAAUCAUCGAAUCUUUGAACGCACCUUGCACCCUUUGGUAUUCCGAAGGGUAUGCUCGUUUGAGUGUCAUUGUACUCUCACACUUCCGAUCGUUUGGAUCGGGAGCGGUGGACUUGGGUGUUGCUGCUUUACUGUGGCUCACCUUAAAUGCAUUAGUGCACCUUUCGGUUGGACAUAGUACGGCGUGAUAAGUGUCUUCGCCGGCACCUCACAGAGGGUGGCUGAUCGGGAGCUCUGUGCUUCAAACCGUCCUCAGACAACAGCUGACAACUUGACCUCAAAUCGAGUAGGACUACCCGCUGAACUUAAGCAUAUCAAUAAGCGGAGGA